rnacentral:rRNA from 1 species
AGAGUUUGAUCCUGGCUCAGAAUCAACGCUGGCGGCGCGCUUAACACAUGCAAGUCGAACGAGAAAGUCCGCAAGGAUGAGUACAGUGGCGUACGGGUGAGUAACACGUGGGUUAUCUGCCUCUUAGUGGGGAAUAACCCUGGGAAACCGGGGUUAAUACCGCAUAAGCCGAGAGGGGAAAGCAGCAAUGCGCUGAGAGA